rnacentral:rRNA from 1 species
UACGGAGGGGGCUAGCGUUGUUCGGAAUUACUGGGCGUAAAGCGCGCGUAGGCGGACCUGCAAGUCGGGGGUGAAAGCCCGAGGCUCAACCUCGGAACUGCCUUCGAUACUGCGGUGCUUGAGGACUGGAGAGGAGACUGGAAUUCAUGGUGUAGCAGUGAAAUGCGUAGAGAUCAUGAGGAAGACCAGUGGCGAAGGCGGGUCUCUGGACAGUUCCUGACACUGAGACACGAAGGCCAGGGGAGCAAACGGG